rnacentral:tRNA from 1 species
UGGGUUGUAACUCAGUGGUAGAGCGCUUGCCUAGCAUGUGUGAGGCCCUGAGUUCGAUCCUCAGCACCACAU